UGGUAGAUACUUAAUUAUCACUUUUAAAGCAUACCAAAAACAAAAUAAAAAAGCCUUUUCUAAUGUAUUUAAACCUACGGAAUGUAGUUGGGUAUUUCUGCGUAUGUGUAGGUAUACCUACCUUGAAAACGUGGCUUGAAAAAUCUACUGAGCGCUUUCCUAUUAAUUUAUCAAAAUGUUUUGCGCGAAACUGAGUAUUAUUGCAUAUAUUUUGAUUGUGUCUUUUAUUUACUAUGAUACUGAAGCAACUUGCCUCAAUCCAUUCUUCAACAAACACGCAUUGUCUCCAAUAAAUAUCGACAGUUCUAAAGUCAUACAAUCUAAUCUUACAACACCAUUAAUUUUAUUCAAUGCCCUAUUUGAUAUUGUGAAUUUCACUAAUACUGGAAAGACACUCGAUGCAUACAGCGAUCAACUCUUGGACCCAUCGUUCAUCACUGGAGGAAUUUUAUGUGAUAAAAAAUACAAAAUUCACACCAUACGUUUCUAUAUCAAUCCACGUGGGAAAGGUCGUAGUGGAAACACAGUCGAUGGUCAGGGUGCUCCUUUGGAAAUGACAGUUAUAUAUUACAAUAUAUUGUAUGGAUCAAUGGAAAACGCUCUAAGAUUCCCAGAUGGCAUAACUGUGCUUGGUUUUCCAGUUAAAGUGAAUCUAGUACCAAAUUUAGGUUUUCUGCCACUUCAAUUCAUUCUUUCAACCGGAGUAAUGAAGAAACCCGGUUCGUCAAUCCCAAUACCGGGCUUAUUCACAUAUGUUUGGUUCGACAAUCUUCUAAUCAGUCCUGUGUAUAAAUAUUAUGCCUACACUGGAACUUAUUACGAUCCUGAAACGGGAAAACAAACACCAUCAGCUAAUUACCUGUUUAUCAGUCCAGAUCAGGCUUUGAGUUUGUCUUAUAAGCAACGAUUCGUCCGAACAAAUUCAUACCACCAAAUCAACUUUCUCCAACGAAUAUCGAUACCUCAAAAGUUAUAUCAGUAAAAUCUGCAGAACCCCUGACGAUUCACUUUGAAAAAUAUAGUUUGGAAAUCGCGGAGAAUACUGGAAAUGCACGUAAUAAUUCAUCUACAAUGCAGAUACCUAUUACACCUGUUUUUUUUAGAGUUGGAUUUUAAUCGAGAAUUUGAAAAAUGUUUCAUUUGUAUCUCAUGAAUUUUGAUACUUGAGUUGAGUAGGUAUUGUAAAAAAAAAUAUUCAAUUUUUACCCUGCGAUAAUUUUUUUCAGUCAUUUUUCAUCCUCUGCCCUUCAGCAGACUUCACAUCGAAGGAGGAUUGUUAGGUGGUAAAACAUAUCACAUUCAUAGGAAUUUUUUACACUUGAAUCAAAAUGCACAUGGUCGUAGUGGAAGCACGAUUAACGCUAAAUGGUGACUUUUAUUUUAAUUCUUAAGAUUAUAGGUUGGUAUCUUAAAAUAGGUAGGUACACAAUUAUUUUGCUUUGGUACCCAAUGUAGAAUGUACCUACCAUGAAUGUUUUGCGCAGUUAUCCAAUUGAAGGAGUUAUCAUAUUUUAUAAUGAAGCGUAUGGCACUUAUGAAAAUGCUAUGAAUUUCUCCGAUGGUUUAUUGGUUCUUUCAGAAUUGGUUAGAAUAGGCUCAAAGGAUAAUUCAGAUUUCGUACCGCUUGAAAAAAUCUUACUUUCUGGAGCUCUAAAAAAGCCAAAUUCUUCAGUCGUAACUGCAGCUAAAAAUUUAUUUAGUUGGUACAGCACUUUUGAAAUUACACCCGCAUAUUACGUUUAUCAAGGAUCUUACUACGAUUCAGAGAUAAGGAAACAAAUAUCGAGAGCAAUUUUCGUGGUUACUCAGCCACCUUACAACUCCAUUUCCAAAAAACAAUUUGAAGCUUUCAAACAAGUGCUGGGAAACGAUGGUCAACCAUUUAAUACCAUAACACCAAUUUACCCUGCCAAAUCUAGAAGAGUUCUUGGAACAACAGGAGUCCAGGCUAAACCAAUACCUUUCGGUUUGAUUGUUUUGUUGCUGCAAAUGGUUUAUUUGUACCUUUCUGGUCAAUUCACUUAAGAUACAUUACUGAUGAGGUGUGGAUGGAUAGGUACAUACCUAUUCUUUAUUAAAAGUUUGCUGAAAAAAUUUAGGCAGGUACCAGGUACCUAUUCUCUCAUCGUCGUUAUCAUUUUAAUAUUUAUAUAUUUCUUCGUGAUGAAAAUAAAACAUCCAAUGUGCAAAAAAUUGCAUCUCAUAUUUUGGCAGCGAACGCUCGGAAGAAUUUUCAGUGCAAAUUAUUGAAAAAAAAAUGACUUUUAGGGAAGGAUAAUAUGCAACCAAAAUACAAAUUCUCUGUGUCAAUUAAACUUUAUUUUGCCCCCCUCCCCUUCGUUCCAAAAAUGAGAUGCCAAAAGUACUCGAAUGGAUCCAAUCAUCCCCCUCAAAGGAAAAAUCCUGGCACCUUGAAGCUGUAUGGGUUUUAAUAUCAACAUUUCAGUGGAUGCAGGUAGGUGUAGGUCUGUUCUGAAGAGAUACUGGAAGAUUCUGC